GCUUGCACCUGAUUCCUAGCGGCGGACGGGUGAGUAAUGCUUAGGAAUCUGCCUAUUAGUGGGGGACAACGUUCCGAAAGGGACGCUAAUACCGCAUACGUCCUACGGGAGAAAGCAGGGGAUCUUCGGACCUUGCGCUAAUAGAUGAGCCUAAGUCGGAUUAGCUAGUUGGUGGGGUAAAGGCCUACCAAGGCGACGAUCUGUAGCGGGUCUGAGAGGAUGAUCCGCCACACUGGGACUGAGACACGGCCCAGACUCCUACGGGAGGCAGCAGUGGGGAAUAUUGGACAAUGGGGGGAACCCUGAUCCAGCCAUGCCGCGUGUGUGAAGAAGGCCUUUUGGUUGUAAAGCACUUUAAGCGAGGAGGAGGCUUACCUGGUUAAUACCUGGGAUAAGUGGACGUUACUCGCAGAAUAAGCACCGGCUAACUCUGUGCCAGCAGCCGCGGUAAUACAGAGGGUGCAAGCGUUAAUCGGAUUUACUGGGCGUAAAGCGCGCGUAGGUGGCUAAUUAAGUCAAAUGUGAAAUCCCCGAGCUUAACUUGGGAAUUGCAUUCGAUACUGGUUAGCUAGAGUAUGGGAGAGGAUGGUAGAAUUCCAGGUGUAGCGGUGAAAUGCGUAGAGAUCUGGAGGAAUACCGAUGGCGAAGGCAGCCAUCUGGCCUAAUACUGACACUGAGGUGCGAAAGCAUGGGGAGCAAACAGGAUUAGAUACCCUGGUAGUCCAUGCCGUAAACGAUGUCUACUAGCCGUUGGGGCCCUUGAGGCUUUAGUGGCGCAGCUAACGCGAUAAGUAGACCGCCUGGGGAGUACGGUCGCAAGACUAAAACUCAGAUGAAUUGACGGGGGCCCGCACAAGCGGUGGAGCAUGUGGUUUAAUUCGAUGCAACGCGAAGAACCUUACCUGGCCUUGACAUACAGAGAACUUUCCAGAGAUGGAUUGGUGCCUUCGGGAACUCUGAUAC
rnacentral:rRNA from 1 species